CCCGUAGGCGGGCAAUUAAGUCAGAGGUGAAAUCCCACAGCUCAACUGUGGAACUGCCUUUGAUACUGGUUGUCUUGAGUUAUAGUGAAGUAGAUAGAAUAUGUAGUGUAGCGGUGAAAUGCAUAGAUAUUACAUAGAAUACCGAUUGCGAAGGCAGUCUACUAACUGUAUACUGACGCUAAUGGACGAAAGCGUGGGGAGCGAACAGGAUUAGAUACCCUGGUAGUCC
rnacentral:rRNA from 1 species